CCUACGGGUGGCAGCAGCAAGGAAUUUUCCACAAUGGGCGCAAGCCUGAUGGAGCAACGCCGCGUGCAGGAUGACGGCUUUCGGGUUGUAAACUGCUUUUUGGGGGGAAGAGUAGGACGGUACCCCCAGAAUAAGCCUCGGCUAACUCUGUGCCAGCAGCCGCGGUAAGACAGAGGAGGCAAGCGUUGUCCGGACUUACUGGGCGUAAAGCGUCCGCAGGUGGUCGUGCAAGUGCGCUGUGAAAGCGCUCGGCUUAACUGAGCGAGGCCAGUGCAGACUGCACAACUCGAGGUCGGGAGAGGUCGGUGGAAUUGCCGGUGUAGUGGUGAAAUGCGUAGAGAUCGGCAGGAACACCCAAGGGGAAGCCAGCCGACUGGCCCGCACCUGACACUCAGGGACGACAGCGUGGGGAGCGAACCGGAUUAGAUACCCCAGUAGUC
rnacentral:rRNA from 1 species